GAGGGUAGAGCUCAGUGGCAGAGUGUGUGCUUAGCAUGCACGAGGUCCUGGGUUUAAUUCCCAGUCCCUCCA
rnacentral:tRNA from 1 species